rnacentral:lncRNA from 1 species
AGACAACUCUCUUUUAAGCACUCCUUUUUAGUUAUCCCCACCUGCCCAGUUCCCUUAUUAGGCCGAGACACUUUAACUAAAUUAUCUGCUUCCCUGACUAUUCCUGGGCUACAGCCACACCUCAUUACUGCCCUUCUUCCCAAUCCAAAGCCUCCUUUGCGUCCUCCUCUUGUAUCCCCCUACCUUAACCCACAAGUAUAAGAUACCUCUACUCCCUCCUUGGUGACCGAUCAUGCACCCCUUACCAUCUCAUUGAAACCUAAUCACCCUUACCCCGCUCAACGCCAAUAUCCCAUCCCACAGCAUGCUUUGAAAAGACUAAAGCCUGUUAUCACUCUCCUGCUACAGCAUGGCCUUUUAAAGCCUAUAAACUCUCCUUACAAUUCCCCCAUUUCACUUGUCCUAAAACCAGACAAGCCUUACAAGUUAGUUCAGGAUCUAUGCCUUAUCAACCACAUUGUUUUGCCUAUCCACCCCAUGGUGUCAAACCCAUAUACUCUCCUAUCCUCAAUACCUCACUCCAUAAUCCAUUAUUGUGUUCUGGAUCUCAAACAUGCUUUCUUUACUAUUCCUUUGCACCCUUCAUCCCAGCCUCUUUUCACUUUCACUUGGACUGACCCUGACACCCAUCAGGCUCAGCAAAUUACCUGGGCUGUACUGCCCCAAAGCUUCACAGACAGCCCCCAUUACUUUAGUCAAGCCCAAAUUUCUUCCUUACCUGUUACCUAUCUUAGCAUAAUUCUCAUAAAGACACACGUGCUCUCCCUGCCGAUAGUGUCCGACUGAUCUCUCAAACCCCAGCACCUUCUACAAAACAACAACUCCUUUCCUUCCUAGGCACGGUUAG